ensembl:lncRNA
GUAUUUAUGUGUUUAUAGCUGUGCUGGGUCUUUGUUGCCCAAGGGCCAUCUCCAUUUGUGGUGAACAGAGAGAAGGUGAAGGGCAGGUUACUCUCUAGUUUCUGUGCGAGAGCCUCUCAUCAUGGCGGCUUCUCUUGUUGCAGAGCACAGGCUCCAGAGCACAGGUCCAGUAGUUGCUCCACAGCAUGUGAGAUCUUCCCCGACCAGGUAUUGAACCUGCACCCCCUGUACCAGCAGGUGGACUCCCAACCACUGGGCCAUCAGGGAAGUCCCAGACAUUGUUCCUUAUUUGGUGCUGCUUGAAAUCUAUUGUCUGCUGAGAAUGCGGAAAACCAAGCCUUGAGUGUUGUGGCUACAGUCCCCAAGUGUUAAGGGGCAAAGCAAGGUUGACUGGGGAAUUUGGAUGACAUCAGAGAUCAAGCAGAGCCUGUUGCACAACGGACAGUGCAACUUUGCACACAAGCCCAGGAUGGUCACUGUGGACAGAAACUCCAUUUCAAGGCAAAUUGCAAGACUUGCUUUUACAAGUUCCUCACUGCGAAGGGGAACCAAACAUCAAGGGCCAUAACUGUUGGUUGAAACUUGGAAACUUCUUCCUGGAGAGCCAGGCGCCAAGACAAGGGACUGAGAAGUCCUUCGAAGGGUCAGUCGUAACAAAAGCCAAAGGAUGAGAUAAGAGAUACCGCGCCUGUUAUCCUAACCACAGAACAAAACAGACCAAGAGGCUGGAAGGCAAAUUGUUUCUGGUGGUCCAAUCAUGGAAAAUGGUGGAAGCUGAGUUUUCAAUUAUUCAGGCAGAGUUUUCCUGGCU